rnacentral:rRNA from 1 species
UACAGAGGUGGCAAGCGUUGUUCGGAAUUACUGGGCGUAAAGGGCGCGUAGGCGGCCUUCUAAGUCAGACGUGAAAUCCCCCGGCUUAACCUGGGAACUGCGUCUGAUACUGGGAGGCUUGAAUUCGGGAGAGGGAUGCAGAAUUCCAGGUGUAGCGGUGAAAUGCGUAGAUAUCUGGAGGAAUACCGGUGGCGAAGGCGGCAUCCUGGACCGACAUUGACGCUGAUGAGCGAAAGCUAGGGGAGCAAACGGG